GGUAGCUCAUUGGUAGAGCCUCUGCUUUGCCCCGCAGAAGGUGCCGGGUUCGAUUCCUGGCAUCUGCA